UUUUCUUUUUCACGGAAAAAUUUCCAAGUUCCAGCUUCUCAAUUAUGAGGAUUUGUUUUCCUUUGUCUUAUGUUUAAGUAAAAAAAAAACAACAAGUGAGCUGUUCAGACAAAAAGAGAAAUUUGAAGAUGUCAGCUGAUACUUCAGGGUAAACUGAGUCUGUGACUUUGCCACUCCAGCCUUGCUGGAAAUUUAUCAUGACAACGCCUUAUUGCUUUACGGCACCAACACGACUCUAAAGCAAGCAAGCUAUAAGAAGAAGCAAAAAGUGUAUAAUAUACAAUUAAAGUUCUUUGGAAGAAGCUAGCUCUCACGCUGGGUGCCACCUGCCAUAAAAUAUAACAAAGAAGAAGAAGAAGAAGCUAGCUCUGUAUUCUCAAUAUGAAUAGCAGAGGCUGAGAAGAGACCAAAGAAGACGUCGGGGGAGAGACAAGAGUAAAUAUCGGACUGGCUUUUACUUAUUGGCGCAAGCUAAAAGAGAUGAAAGGAUGCAGGACAGAUGCCAAGCUGGCCUACUUGCUGCUGGACUUCUUUGUUGGCUAACUUGCCUGCCAAGUUUCUAGCAACAUUUUGCUGGUGGAGAAUGAAGCCAGGCCAGCGGGCAACAUAACCAGGCUCAGCAGCCUCUAUGGACAUACCGGUAGUAGGUGAAAAGACUGAAGAGGACUCCGACAGAGGAAGCAAGAAGGGAAAAGGCGAGUGUCCAAGCAAGGCCUUGGAAGUUGGAAGCUUUGUGAAAUAAAAGGCUGCAAGACCGA